rnacentral:rRNA from 1 species
AGUGAACGCUGGCGGUAGGCCUAACACAUGCAAGUCGAACGGCAGCACAGUAAGAGCUUGCUCUUACGGGUGGCGAGUGGCGGACGGGUGAGGAAUACAUCGGAAUCUACUUUUUCGUGGGGGAUAACGUAGGGAAACUUACGCUAAUACCGCAUACGACCUACGGGUGAAAGCAGGGGAUCUUCGGACCUUGCGCGAUUGAAUGAGCCGAUGUCGGAUUAGCUAGUUGGCGGGGUAAAGGCCCACCAAGGCGACGAUCCGUAGCUGGUCUGAGAGGAUGAUCAGCCACACUGGAACUGAGACACGGUCCAGAAUCCUACGGGAGGCAGCAGUGGGGAAUAUUGGACAAUGGGAGCAAGCCUGAUCCAGCCAUACCGCGUGGGUGAAGAAGGCCUUCGGGUUGUAAAGACCUUUUGUUGGGAAAGAAAAGCAGCAGGUUAAUACCCCGCUGUUCUGACGGUACCCAAAGAAUAAGCACCGGCUAAAUUCGUG